rnacentral:rRNA from 1 species
AUUGAACGCUGGCGGCAGGCUUAGCACAUGCAAGUCGAGCGGAGAUGAGGUGCUUGCACCUUAUCUUAGCGGCGGACGGGUGAGUAAUGCUUAGGAAUCUGCCUAUUAGUGGGGGACAACAUUCCGAAAGGAAUGCUAAUACCGCAUACGCCCUACGGGGGAAAGCAGGGGAUCUUCGGACCUUGCGCUAAUAGAUGAGCCUAAGUCGGAUUAGCUAGUUGGUGGGGUAAAGGCCUACCAAGGCGACGAUCUGGAGCGGGUCUGAGAGGAUGAUCGGCCACACGGGGACUGAGACACGGCCCAGACUCCUACGGGAGGCAGCAGUGGGGAAUAUUGGACAAUGGGCGGAAGCCUGAUCCAGCCAUGCCGCGUGUGUGAGGAGGGCCUUUUGGUUGUAAAGCACUUUAAGCGAGGAGGAGGCUACCUGGAUUAAUACUCUAGGAUAGUGGACGUUACUCGCAGAAUAAGCACCGGCUAACUCUGUGCCAGCAGCCGCCGUAAAAC